CCUACGGGAGGCAGCAGUGAGGAAUAUUGGUCAAUGGGCGAGAGCCUGAACCAGCCAAGUCGCGUGAGGGAGUACUGCCCUAUGGGUUGUAAACCUCUUUUGUCGGGGAGCAAAAGCCGGACGUGUCCGGCUGUGAGAGUACCCGAAGAAAAAGCAUCGGCUAACUCCGUGCCAGCAGCCGCGGUAAUACGGAGGAUGCGAGCGUUAUCCGGAUUUAUUGGGUUUAAAGGGUGCGGAGGCGGAUUUUUAAGUCAGCGGUAAAAUCGUGGGGCUCAACCCCAUCCAGCCGUUGAAACUGGGGAUCUAGAGUGUGCGAGAGGUAUGCGGAAUGCGUGGUGUAGCGGUGAAAUGCAUAGAUAUCACGCAGAACCCCGAUUGCGAAGGCAGCAUACCGGUGCACAACUGACGCUCAGGCACGAAAGCGUGGGUAUCGAACAGGAUUAGAUACCCCGGUAGUC
rnacentral:rRNA from 1 species